rnacentral:rRNA from 2 species
CUUGGUCAUUUAGAGGAAGUAAAAGUCGUAACAAGGUUUCCGUAGGUGAACCUGCGGAAGGAUCAUUACAGAGUUCAUGCCCGAAAGGGUAGACCUCCCACCCUUGUGUAUUAUUACUUUGUUGCUUUGGCGAGCUGCCUUCGGGCCUUGUAUGCUCGCCAGAGAAUACCAAAACUCUUUUUAUUAAUGUCGUCUGAGUACUAUAUAAUAGUUAAAACUUUCAACAACGGAUCUCUUGGUUCUGGCAUCGAUGAAGAACGCAGCGAAAUGCGAUAAGUAAUGUGAAUUGCAGAAUUCAGUGAAUCAUCGAAUCUUUGAACGCACAUUGCGCCCCUUGGUAUUCCGGGGGGCAUGCCUGUUCGAGCGUCAUUUCAACCCUCAAGCUUAGCUUGGUAUUGAGUCUAUGUCAGUAAUGGCAGGCUCUAAAAUCAGUGGCGGCGCCGCUGGGUCCUGAACGUAGUAAUAUCUCUCGUUACAGGUUCUCGGUGUGCUUCUGCCAAAACCCAAAUUUUUCUAUGGUUGACCUCGGAUCAGGUAGGGAUACCCGCUGAACUUAAGCAUAUCAAUAAGCGGAGGA